ACUCUAAGACCCGCUCUUGGUAAAGUUUACGUGAACUGAGAUCCUCUUCACGUUGAGCCAUCUUCCCUGAGCCUUUUCCAAUGCCAGAAGAAUUCAGAUUCCAUAGGAAGCAGGGAAGACUGCUCUCAGGAGAAGGUGGGAGGGGAGAAUGUAGUCUUAAUUUUGGGAAUGUCUUGGGGAUUCCUUCCCCCACUUUUUUUUUUCCUUGAGCCCUUGCUACUUGAUGAUAUGAAGCCACAGUGAAUUAGCACCCAGAAGCCUUCCCUUCUGUCUCUAGAAGUCUUUGCCAUUUAUGAAGAUAAAACCCUUAUAUCUCAUUUGAGGACUGUCAAAUAUGCCCAAAUAACAGAGACUUAAACACAUAGAGGUUUAUUUUUCUCAUGGGACAUGAAGGAAUUAGGGAACCCAUGUCCACGGCUGCUGCUCAGGAUCACUCAUCCAUCCACAGCCUGGGGUCCUCUGGCUAUCUGUUUCACUAUCCCCAGAUCUUGGCUUUCGCUUCAUGGUCCUAAGAAGCAUCUACAUUCUGAGCAGAAAAACAGGGGGCAGGGAGGACAGAGAGCAAAAGACGUAUGAGAGAUGGAUCUAUCCCUUUUUCAAGCAGGAAAAUGACAACUUUUCUAGAUGCAGUGGCUCACGCCUGUAAUUCCAGCACUUUGAGAGGCCGAGGCAAGAGGAUCGCUUGAGGCCAAGGGUUCGAGACCUGCCUGGGCAACAGAGUGAGACCCCCUAUCUCUACAAAAAAUAAAAAAAAAAUCUAGUUGGGUGUGGUGGUGCACUCUUAUAGUUCCAGCUACUUGGGAGGCUGAGGUGGGAGGAUCGCUUGAGCCUGGGAAUGGGAGGCUGCAGUGAGCUGUGAUGGCACCACUGUACUCCAGCCUGGGCCACACAGCGAGACCUUGUCUCUAAAGAAGGAAAAAGGAAAAUGAUAGCUUUUCUGGAAGCCCUACCCAGCAGAUGUGUACUUAUUUCCAACUGGCUGACAUUGUAUCUCAUGGCAAUUCCUAGCCGCAAGAGAGUUUGGGCAAAUGAGUAUUAAUUGGGCACUUCCCGAACCUAACAAAAUUGGGACCCUGUUGGCAAGGAAAAAGGGGAGAGUUCCAAAAUUAUACAGAUCUUGAAUAGCAAAUAUGGGGAGCAAAACCAAUUAUAAGCCUAAAAUAUCUAUGGUAGCCAUAGGAAGAUGUGGGAUUUUAGAGGGGGCUUUUAUCAAUUGUGUUAUUAACAGGUAACAUACAUACAAAAAGGUGAGCUCAACUUAGGGAUACAGCUGGAUGCAUGUUAACAUAUCUGUACAUUUGUGUAUGACCACCCAGGUUGAGAUGCAGGCCAUUUUCAGCACCCUAGAGGCCCUUUUAUUCCCUCUCAGUCAGCAAACCUUCCACUCCUAAGAUAACCACUUUUCCAGCUUCUACCUCUUUUUUUUAUCUAUUUAUUUUAUUUAUUUAUUUAUUUAUUUAUUUUUGUGAGACAGGGUCUCUGUAGAGUGAGUGCUCAUAUGAGCACUCCCAGGCUGGAGUGCAGUGGUGCGAUCUUGGCUCACUACAACCUCUGCCUCCCGGUUUCAAGCAAUUCUUCUGCUUCUGCCUCCCGAGUAGCUGGGGUUACAGGCGCAUGCCAACACACCCAGCUAAUUUUUAUAUUUUUAGUAGAGAUGGGGUUUCGCCAUGUUGGACAGGCUGAUCUCAAACUCCUGACCUCAAGUGAUCUGCCCACCUCCGCCUCCCAAAGUGCUGGGAUUACAGGCAUGAGCCACCAUGCUCGGCCUUGUUUCUAUUUUCUUUGACACAAGCACUGUUUAUCUUCCAGUGUAAGAACGCAAUCAACCAUAGCACUGUGGGAUAGCAGCCAGGAGGCUGGCUGUAUCCUGCUGCAGCAGCCACCACACAUGGAGGGCGGAGGGACAGCCACCCUGUUGUGUAGCUCGGAGCAGCUGUGUCCUUCAGUGCAGGUCCAGCCAAGAGCCGUGGGCCACAGAUGACGCUGGUGGGGAAGCAGAGGGCAGACUAGGCAGAGGCAAGGCUUUCCUGUGCCCUGAGCUGUCAGAGAUGGGCCAGGGCCUUCAGCUUCCUCGAUAGGGCAGAAGUGACCACGCUGGCUCCAUUCAGCAAAGGACGUGGACGGAGCUGCCGGGCUUGUCUGAGAGGAGGAGAAAUGUGGAAUUGAGUGAGGCUCUCUAAGAAGGUUCUGCUGGAGUUGAGAAAAAUUAGGGUGAGGCACCUCCCCGAUUUUAUGUCCUUUUUCCUGGGUCCAGCCUCCUGAACAGCUACCAUUCGCUUCUGUGAGACACCUGUCGGUGCCUCCUUUUCCAGCCCUUAAUGGAACGUUCCUCUCCCAGCCACCUCAGACUUCCCAUACCACCCUCCCUGGACAGGAAGCGUUUUUACAGGAGUUUGAAGCUUCAGGAGUGCCCUCCGGCCACAUGAAGACAAGGCGCUAACAAACAUGGCGUUCUGCAAAUUGCACCAUCGCCAACUCCUGUCUUACUCUCACAGAGGUCUCUUGGGCUCUUCUGAGAAGGUUUAGGAUAAUAACCUGUGCAGAGAGAGGGUCUCCUGUCCUGAAGUCACAGCCCGGAUCUCCAGGCUGGCUCUGCUGCCUCUGAAUGAUUUGUGGGUCACACACGCCAACAGCAUCGCCAAGGGCUGACAUCAGCCUGCUUGAGCCACGGAAACUGAAUGGGCAAGGAUGAGUUCCCCAGCACAGAGGGAGGCAUCCUCUGUCAAGACCAUCUGCGCAUGUGCUGUGCAGUCUCCAGUCUGCACUGUGAGUGUGUCUCAACGGCUUUUGAGAACUGCUUCGAGAGGGGACCAGAUGCGCAGAGACAAGCUUCCAGCCUGGCUAGGGACGGACCCUCUGGGGAUGCUCCUCUCUGGCCGGGCAGCAGUAGAAGCACCUGCCUCCAUCCACAUCCAGACGCCAUUCCCUUUUCUUCACCGCUGCUUCCCAUCAGAUGGUCCCCAGGAGUGGCAACCUCCCACUUGGUCUCGCAGGAGUCCCAGUGCUUCUCAGGUGUGUGUGCCACAUCCCUCUUCUCUGAACACACAGUGGUCAGGGUGCCUGCACAGGGAAGGGCACCACAGUCCACCCUGGGAAAGGUCUUCAGUCUUCGGGAAAGAGCCUGUAAGCACCUUGACUGCUCUUCUUCUCUAGGGCAGAGAGCUUUCUUAUCCACAGGGGUCCUUAGUCAGAGAGAGGGAGCGCACUCGGUGAGCUCUUUCAGAGGCAGCAGAGCCCUCUGCCUC
rnacentral:lncRNA from 1 species